rnacentral:rRNA from 1 species
UACAGAGGGUGCAAGCGUUAUUCGGAAUUAUUGGGCGUAAAGAGCGCGUAGGCGGUCUGAUAAGUCUGGUGUGAAAUCCCUGGACUCAAUUCAGGAAGCGCAUUGGAUACUGUCAGACUCGAGUACAGGAGAGGUGAGCGGAAUUCCCGGUGUAGAGGUGAAAUUCGUAGAUAUCGGGAGGAACGACAGUGGCGAAGGCGGCUCACUGGACUGUAACUGAUGCUGAGGCGUGAAAGCGUGGGGUGCAAACAGG